rnacentral:lncRNA from 1 species
UUUUUUUUUUUUUUGGUGGCCUAGAGCAAAACCAUUUCUAAAAAUUACUUUCUAAAUUGCUUCAGAAAUUUCUAUAAUUUUGAUAUUCUUCUCUUUUGUCCAAAGUCUUCUUUUAAACUUUGCCAUUAUUGCUUAGGGUUUCUGUUGUCCAUUAUUUGAAGCAAAUUUGCAGUGGAUAUUUGUUGUACCUCUUUAGUAUAACUAUAUAAUUCAAAUGGAUUUUCCUCUGAUGAUCUGCAAUUGUAUAGUAUAAUCCACAGCUAUUGAUUACUUUACCCUGGUUUACAUACUACGCUUUUCUUUUGUAUUGAUUCUUGCUUUUUUAUUGCUAAUAUGCUUUGAUAUGAUUUAGAUCUCUUCGUUCCUUUCUUAUUCCACACUCUGAAUUGCUAUGUUACAUAUACUCAAGAAUUUCAAAUCGUAAAUAUGAAUAAAAUGAUAAUAUAAAUGGAAUGUUUCUCAUUCAUUAUAGGUUUUAAUAUAGGAUUUUAUAUUCAAAGUAUUUGAAAACUAAUUUAAAAAGCAAUAAAUAUAACUCAAGCCAAAUAACAGAUCCUAAGUUUACAGUAAAAAUAAGAGUCUCCUAUAGGGUAACUGAAAUGUUUGAGGCCAAAAUGAUUUAAUACCCUGUGGCAUUUCUAAAACAAUGUUGCAAUUGCUUAGCUAUGCAUUUUAAAAACUAUGCAAAUAUAGAAAAUUGAGACCAUAUUGUGAUUUCUAUCCCUCCUGGAAGACAUAAUAGUUAAUCAUAAUGUAUCUGUGACAAAAUAUAUUCUCCCUCUCAUAUAAGAAAAUACAAAGAAAGAAGACUAAAAAUCACACAAAGAGAUUCAUAAUUUGCUGUUCUCUACAGAUUCAUCCUCUGGCAAAUAUAAUUUAAAAUUCUGAUAAGGCCACAAGACUAGAAUAAAGCCCCCUAAACUUUAAGAAUAACUACUCCUUCUGUAACUAGAAGACUAACAUUCAUACAUGCCUGAAGUAAAAUGGAUCUAAAAAUGGUAUUGAAAUCUGAUUAGAGAUGUUCAGAUGAAGGAUAUGAAAAAUAUUCUGCCAAAAUCCAUUUCUCUACAUCAAUAGUUCUCAACCUUUCCUUAUACAUGCAUGGAUCAAAUGAAGGCAUUUUUUUUUUUUAUGAAGGCAAUUUUUAAAUACUGAUGCCUGAUGCCAUUCCCAAAGUUUCUGCUUCAACUGGUCUACAUUGAGACUGAGCAUCAGAAUUUAAAAAAAAAAAAAAAAAAUCCAGGCUUUUAUAUUAACCAGAGCUAAGAAUUACAAUUUCACAUUGUCAUUGUCUUCAAUACAUGGCCCAUUAAUCUGUGAUUCUGAGUUUGUCGUGAAAAUACAGGGGAGUGAGCUCAAUGUAUAAGUUAAGAAAACUUUGCUUACCAGGUCACAGGUCUUCCUUCCAUUCCCUCUCUUUCUGUGACUUCCCUGUGGAUAAAGUAUAUUCCCUCUGACCAUUGGUUUGGGCCUUUGAUUCAUAGGGACAACAUAAACCACAUCCAAGAAGAGGUUUUUUGUGUGUCUGUGUGGUUUAACAUGGCCUCUUGUCUCCUGUCAUUCAUUUUGAAAAGACUCUGCCUUAGGUACAUUCAGCGCCUUCACACAGGUCCCAGGUAGAGUGAUACUUGAAGUGACUAGACUCAUAUCCAGCUGACCCUAAGAGCUGUGAGUGAGAAGUAUGUGUUUAUUGUUAUAAACCACUACCAAUUUGACUUUUUAAAAAAUGUAACAUCUUAGCUUUAGCAGACCAACACAAACUUAAGCAGAGCUCUUUAUUCAAGAUUCCUAAAACUAUAUAAUAACAAUAACACCUUUCUUAAGAGUUUUUCAAGAAAGGCCAAUACCAUGCAAUUUCACAGAUUUCUAUUUCAUUAUAGAACUUUUGUUUCAGGAAUUAUCUCAAUUAAUUUUCAGCAGAAAAUGCAAAAUGCAUAAUGAACAGUAAACAAAAUAUUGUAUGGAACUCUAUUAGAGUCAUGGAUGAUAAUGUUAUCAACUAAAAUGUUACCAUUUGAAGAUAAAUGUAUACCAUUUGUAUAUCAUUUCUAUAUUCUAAUUAUAAAUUAAAAUGUAAUUAGAAAAACAAGGGGGAAGCUGAAAACUUGGUAGAACGGAAGGCAUCAAAAAAUUGUGUGGGCCACAUCUUGGGUUUGUAGUUAAAACUACAAAAAUGAAUAAAGAUGUAACCUAAGUUUUUAAAAAUAACUUUAUUGAGGAAUAUUUCACAUAUCAUAUAAUUCAUCUCUUCCAGGUGUAUAAUUCAAUGAUAUUAUGGUAAAUUCACCAAGUUAUGCAGCCAUCACCAUAAAUCAAGUUUAGAAUAUUUUCAUUGCUCUAAAAAUCCCUUAUGCAUAUUUACUGUUGAUUUUUCUUCCUCCUGUUCCAGCCAAUCACCAAUCUACUUUUUGUCUCUAAAUAUUUGACUAUUCUAGAAGUUUGAAAUAAAUGGAAUAAUAUAAUAUGUGCUUUCUUGUAUAUAGCUUUUCUCACUGUGCAUGUUUUUGAUGUUCAUCCAUAUCAUAGCAGGUAUCCAUAGUUUGUCAUUUAUGUUUAUAGUUGAAUAUUGUUCUAUUGUAUGGUCACAGCACAUUUUGCUUACCCAUUCAACAAUGAUGGGCAAUUAGAUUAGUUUCACUUUCCCACUAUUAUGAGUAAUGCCAGUAGGAACAUUUGUAUGUAAGACUGUGCGGAUGUAUGUUUUCAUUACUCUUAGGUAGAUCUCUAGAAGCAGAAUUCUAAAGAGCAGUAACCUAACUUUCUGGAGUUUUAGUCCAUUAGAAAAGGCAAACACUAGAAACACAAUGGUGUGAUCAUGUCUGUGAUCAUGGUGUGCAAUAAAUUCAAUGGGAGCAAAGCUACAAGUUCCAGAAAGUAGCAUUUGAAUUGAAUGCAUAUGGAUGAAUAAAAUUUGUUAAACAAGAGAGGGUAGAGAGGGUUUUCCAAAUCAGUAAUUAUAGGAAGAAUAAAGCUAUUAUUUGUGAAAAAACAUGACAGAUACUUCAAAAGAAGACAGGAUAUACGUUGACAGGUGAAGAAAGAGAGAUGGGGCCACUGUUCAGGGAUACACAGUGAACUGGCCCCAGUAUUGCAAUCUGAUACAAGGCUACAUCUAUUGCAAAGGAGCGAUUUCCUUUUUUAAGCACAAAGAUACUAUUAGGUAAGCCUGCUGUCCACUUGGGGUAACAUUAAAAUUAUCUAUGGGGCUAGGAGGUAUGCUUUUAAAACUUUCCACAAGCGCCUUAUAUUGGGUAUCUGCACACAGAAGUUCUUAUAUAUGUCAUUGACCAAAAGGACUUUUACUAUUUUGGUUUAGUGCUUUCCACAUUUACUCAUGUCUAAUAAUAACAGAAAAUGAACAGAUUCACAUGAUUAACUAAGGUAAGCAUACAGCUUCUCCUGGAAUGAGGCAUUGCAGAAUUCAUGUCCCCUUGCUCUGUCCCUGAGUCGGGAUGGCAUCAAUAUCUCACCACAUUUGUGGAAGAGGGAUCUCUUCAUCAGUAGGUUUUUAAAAGCAUAUCUUAGCUAUUAAGCAGCACGAUAGGUUGAAGAGGCUGGCCACAGGCAAGAAGACAAGUUUGAAGUUGUCAGAACAUACGAAACGAGGUAGAAUAAAGAAUUGAAUCUAUAAUCCAGGAAAGUCAUGCUGAGGGCUUACCCUGGACAGCAAGUGCAGGAAAGAAAAAUAGAGAUUCAAUUUAAGAACUAUUUAGAUGAUAAAAUUGGCAUGGAUCCCGAAGAAAGAGAAAGAAUAUACAUGACUCCUAGGUUGUUUGAUUUAGUAGCUUAGUUAGAAGGGAUACCUUCACUAAGAUAAAAUGGAGGAGAAAAACUAACAUGUGCUAGGAUAUUUGGGAGGAUAAAUGUUACAAUCCAUAGUGAAGAACAAUUGUAUAUGUCAUAACCUAAUCUGAACUACUAAUUUUAUAUGCAGUUGCAAUUGAGGUGUUUUGAAACAUCAAAAUCUGAUUCAUACAGUGACAUUAGCAAGAUAGCCAAUAGCCUUUUUUUUUUUUUUUUUAACCAUCAUGCCCUUAUGGAGUAUUUAUUUUGACAACCAUCAUGACAAGAACACAUUUGUGGGAAUCUGGGAAUUUAGUGAAGAAGCUCUGGCACAUUACUAAAGCAUAACGUCUGAGCAUAGAUGCACCAAAAAGUAUAAAAAGUACAGUUUCACUUUACCUACCUUCACUAAUGAUGGCAGCACAGCUCAAGUCCAAAAGAGACCCACUCAGGCCAGAACUUCUCCCAUAGGGAAAGGUGAGAGCACAAGGAGUGCCUGACUUCCCCAGACUUAUGGGACACUGCCCUAUAGACUCAGUUUUUUGUGCCCUACACAGAAUACUUAUGUGUUAGGCAUGGGCUGAGUAUUUGGAAAAGUCUGGAAGCACAAUUACUAGGACUCAGAAUCCAUCAAAGGACCACGGAUCCUACUAAUCACUGUAUGAACUCCACCAGGAAGCCUGCCCAGAACAGCUUAGAACACCUUGCCUGCAGAUCUCCCUCAAAUGGCCACAAGCAGCCCCUCAUCUACCUCCCCAACAGUUAGUCUCCUGCACUGGCUUCCAUGGAUAGUGAAAGCAGACCUUUACAGACAGUUCCUAAGCAUGCAGAAAAAGCCAAUACAAUUCUGCAGGAUUAGAAGAAACUUCCAAAAAUCUAAUAAGAAUAAAAAUGGUAAAAAUAUACAAAACACUUUUCUAUAUCCUAAAAUUUACCUGUAACCAAAUUCACAUCAUCUUAUUGUGUGG